UCUGGGACAGCUUUUAACCUGAACUUUGGAAGUUCUCGUAUGAGUGCCUCCACAGCUUCAGUCUGCUUCGAGUCAUAUUCACGUUAAGGAUAGUUACUUAAAUGCUUAAUGUACUGAGAACAAAACGACAAGACUUGCCUGAGCAGGAGUCAAGUAAAGUCCAGGAUGGAUGAGCCUAUUGAUAAGAGCAAGCACUGGGGUGAUUUGGAGGAAGAGGAACAAGAGGAGGAGAUGGAUGAAGAGGAACUAGAAGACGGCAUGGAAUCGGUUGAUACAUUGUCGAGCACUCCAACUGGCACAGAGACACCGAAUGCAAUUGAAGCAGAGAAAGGAAUCCGAUAGGCCUCUAUAUCAAGUACUUGAAGAAUUGCUCCUGGAACAGUAUAGUGAACCACACACACAUACGCUAUUAAAACUGGUACUCAAGACAAGCCGGGAGCAAA